UACGUAGGGGGCUAGCGUUGUCCGGAAUUACUGGGCGUAAAGAGCUCGUAGGUGGUUUGUCGCGUUGUUCGUGAAAUCUCACGGCUUAACUGUGAGCGUGCGGGCGAUACGGGCAGACUGGAGUACUGCAGGGGAGACUGGAAUUCCUGGUGUAGCGGUGGAAUGCGCAGAUAUCAGGAGGAACACCGGUGGCGAAGGCGGGUCUCUGGGCAGUAACUGACGCUGAGGAGCGAAAGCGUGGGGAGCGAACAGG
rnacentral:rRNA from 1 species